rnacentral:rRNA from 1 species
GAUUAACGCUGGCGGCGUGCAUAACACAUGCAAGUCGAACGAUGAAACUUAACUGAUUUCUUCGGAAUGAUUUUAAGUGGCUUAGUGGCGGACGGGUGAGUAACGCGUGAGUAACCUGCCUUGGAGAAGGGGAUAGCCUUUGGAAACGAAGAAUAAUACCCUAUGAUAUGAUAAUAUCUCAUGAUAUUAUCAUCAAAGAUUUAUCGCUCUAAGAUGGACUUGCGUCUGAUUAGUUAGUUGGUGAGGUAACAGCUCACCAAGGCAGCGAUCAGUAGCCGGCGUGAGAGAGUGGACGGCCACAUUGGGACUGAGACACGGCCCAGACUCCUACGGGAGGCAGCAGUGGGGAAUUUUGCACAAUGGGUGAAAGCAUGAUGCAGCGACGCCGCGUGAUUUAGAAGGCCUUCGGGUUGUAAAAAUCUUUUGUAUGGGAAGAAAAUGACAGUACCAUACGAAUAAGGACCGGCUAAUUACGUG